UGGAGUUAGAUGGUUGUGAGCUGCCGUGU
rnacentral:piRNA from 1 species